AUGUGCAAAAUAUUUUCUGUGCCCAUGCAAGAUAAAAAAUGUUUUAUUCUAAGUUUGUUUACAUUUAAAGAAUUAAGCGGAAAUAAAUAUGAUAAUGCGAAAGAUUAUAAUAAAUAUAUUGAUGAUUUAUUAAAACCUAAAUUAGAAAAAAUAAAAUCAAGUGAAGAUAAAUUACCUGCAGAAGAAUUUUUUUUAGCAAAUGUUAAAUUUUUACCAAGUUUUUUAUAUUACCCUCAUAAUUAUAAUAUUAAAAAAAAAGAAGAACCUAUGAAUACAAUUCUAUCGGAUAUAUAUAAUAAUUUGGAAUCUCUUUUAUUUGUAUUUAAUUUUGAUGAGGAUGUAGAUGAUAUGUUAUUAAAUGAAUGGUAUGAUAAAUUAGAAAUGUAUAUACAAUUACUUAAUGAAAAUAUGUUGACAUAUAUAUAUAUUAAAAACCCUGAUAAUACAUCUUUUAAACACGAAUUAGAAAAAAACAAAAAAUGGAAAGUUGCUAUUGUUAAUGAUGGUGUAAUAGAAAAUAGUGAAAACAUGUCUAUUAUUUUAGGAAUGAAAUCUAAUUGUUUAUUUGUUAUACUUUCUUUAAUUUUUAUGAUUUCUUCAGUCAAUUAUUUAUUAUAUAAUGAAUUAUCAAUUGGAAACAGAAUUUUAUUAAUAGGAAUAGUUUAUUUAUUAACUUUAUUUACUUUCUGUAGUAGUAUAUUGUUAAAUAUAUUAUGGGGUGUAGGUGUGUUAAGAAUAUUUUUAUUAAAUUAUCUUUUUAUAUAUUUUUUAAGUUUUUUAUUUUUUUGCGUUAAUAUAUUUUAUUAUAAACAAAGUGUUAGCAAGUAUUUGCAAGUGGUAGUUGGUACGUAUUGUACAGAUGUAUAUGGUAAUGAUGAACAUCGUAGUGAUGUAUAUGGUAUUAGUGAAGGACCUACUUGUGAAAAUUAUGCUAAUGAGUCAAUUGUCAGUAAGUGCGAUAACAGACAAAACAAUAAAAGCACAAACAUUAAUAACUAUUUUGUCAAAGCGUCAUAUAAAUCAUUAUUAUUUGUAAGCAAGAUUUGUAUAAUACUUAUCAGUACAUAUUUUGUAGGUUUUACUAGUAGCUAUAAAAUUUUUAAAUUGUUUUGCAUAAAUUCUAUAUUAGCUAUUUUUUCUUUAUAUUUGUUUUAUGCAAUAUUUUUUAAUACUACCUUUUUUAUGUUUUUUCAAAAAAAUAAAAAAUUGGUUUACGAGUCCCCUGAUACAAAUGAUAAAUAUAUAAUCACAUUAAAUAACAAAGGAGUAACUUUGACUAAAUGUGCGAUUAUGAAUGUGAUUAUGAACGAGGUCAUAACGAAAGAUAUAACUGGGAAAAAAAUUAAAACCAUAACUAGGAACAUAAGUGAACCCAAUUUAAUAAUAAAAAACAAAGAAAAAGAAACAAUUUUAAAUAUUAAUCACAAUUGUCGUAAUUUAUCAUUAUAUAACAAUGAAUUGCAAGUACAAUCUAGUUCAUCUUUUAAUGGGUAUGAUAACGAUAUGAUAAUAGAACAAAAUAAAAACAAUAAUUUAAACAAGUUAAGGAACGAUUUACAACUAUAUAGAAAAGAAGAUAACACACUUAUGUCAAAUGUGGCAAUUACAAAUGAAUAUAUUUCACCAUGUACUACUACAAUUUCUCCCCUCACUGACAAUAACAAUGUCAAUAGUAAUAGAAAUGUCAAUAGUAAUAGAAAUGUUAAUAGCAAUAGAAAUGAAAAUAGUAAUAGAAAUGAAAAUAGCAAUAGAAAUGAAAAUAGCAAUAGAAAUGANNNNNNNNNNAAAUGA
rnacentral:lncRNA from 1 species